UGUCUUGUAAUUGAUUAAC
rnacentral:miRNA from 1 species